rnacentral:rRNA from 1 species
UCGCGGCGAUGGUUGUUCCGCGGGUAAGGGUGUAGGGCGAGGUGUAGGCAAAUCCGCACCUCAUGUGCCUGAGACCUGACACGGACCCGUAAGGGGAAGUCGGUGAUCCUAUGCUGCCAAGAAAAUCUUCUAGCGAGGUUCUAGCCGCCCGUACCCCAAACCGACUCAGGUGGUUAGGUAGAGAAUACCAAGGCGAUCGAGUGAAUCGUGGUUAAGGAAUUCGGCAAAAUACCCCCGUAACUUCGGGAGAAGGGAGGCCCAGAGGGUGACGGGACUUGCUCCCCGAGCCUGAACGGCCGCAGAGACCAGGGAGAAGCGACUGUUUACUAAAAACACAGGUCCGUGCCAAGUCGCAAGACGAUGUAUACGGACUGACGCCUGCCCGGUGCUGGAACGUUAAGGGGACCGGUUAGCCUCACGGCGAAGCUGAGAACUUAAGCGCCAGUAAACGGCGGUGGUAACUAUAACCAUCCUAAGGUAGCGAAAUUCCUUGUCGGGUAAGUUCCGACCUGCACGAAUGGCGUAACGACUUCUCCACUGUCACAACCACGAACUCGGCGAAAUUGCACUACGAGUAAAGAUGCUCGUUACGCGCAGAAGGACGGAAAGACCCCGGGACCUUUACUACAGCUUGGUAUUGGUGUUCGGUACGGCUUGUGUAGGAUAGGUGGGAGACUGUGAAGCUGACACGCCAGUGUCGGUGGAGUCAACGUUGAAAUACCACUCUGGUCGUUCUGGAUAUCUAACCUAGGUCCGUAAUCCGGAUCAGGGACAGUGCCUGGUGGGUAGUUUAACUGGGGCGGUUGCCUCCUAAAAGGUAACGGAGGCGCCCAAAGGUUCCCUCAGCCUGGUUGGCAAUCAGGUUUCGAGUGUAAGUGCACAAGGGAGCUUGACUGUGAGACUGACAAGUCGAACAGGGACGAAAGUCGGGACUAGUGAUCCGGCGGUGGCUUGUGGAAGCGCCGUCGCUCAACGGAUAAAAGGUACCCCGGGGAUAACAGGCUGAUCUUGCCCAAGAGUCCAUAUCGACGGCAUGGUUUGGCACCUCGAUGUCGGCUCGUCGCAUCCUGGGGCUGGAGUAGGUCCCAAGGGUUGGGCUGUUCGCCCAUUAAAGCGGUACGCGAGCUGGGUUUAGAACGUCGUGAGACAGUUCGGUCCCUAUCCUCUGCGCGCGCAGGAAACUUGAGAAGGGCUGUCCCUAGUACGAGAGGACCGGGAUGGACGAACCUCUGGUGUGUCAGUUGUUCUGCCAAGAGCACCGCUGAUUAGCUACGUUCGGGAGUGAUAACCGCUGAAAGCAUCUAAGCGGGAAGCAUGCUUCAAGAUGAGGUUUCCAUGGGGUUUACCCCGAGAGGCUCCCAGCUAGACUACUGGGUUGAUAGGCCGGGUGUGGAAGUGCGGUAACGCAUGGAGCUGACCGGUACUAAUAAGCCGAUAACUUGACC